rnacentral:rRNA from 1 species
GACGAACGCUGGCGGCGUGCUUAACACAUGCAAGUCGAACGGAAAGGCCCUACUUUUGUGGGGUGCUCGAGUGGCGAACGGGUGAGUAACACGUGAGUAACCUGCCCUUGACUUUGGGAUAACUUCAGGAAACUGGGGCUAAUAUCGGAUAGGAGCUCCUGAUGCACGGUGGGGGUUGGAAAGUUUCGGCUGUUGGGGAUGGACUCGCGGCUUAUCAGCUUGUUGGUGGGGUAGUGGCUUACCAAGGCUUUGACGGGUAGCCGGCCUGAGAGGGUGACCGGCCACAAUGGUACUGCGGUACGGCCCAGACGCCUACGGGAGGCAGCAGUGGGGAAUAUGGCACAAUGGGCGGAAGCCUGAUGCAGCAACGCCGCGUGCGGGAUGACGUCCUUCGGGUUGUAAACCGCUUUCGCCUGUGACGAAGCGUGAGUGACGGUAAUGGGUAAAGAAGCACCGGCUAACUACGUG